rnacentral:rRNA from 1 species
AGAGUUUGAUCCUGGCUCAGGACGAACGCUGGCGGCACGCUUAACACAUGCAAGUCGAACGAGAGAAGAGGAGCUUGCUUUUCUGAUCUAGUGGCGGACGGGUGAGUAACACGUGAGCAAUCUGCCUUUCAGAGGGGGAUACCGAUUGGAAACGAUCGUUAAUACCGCAUAACAUAAUUGAACCGCAUGAUUUGAUUAUCAAAGAUUUACCGCUGAAAGAUGAGCUCGCGUCUGAUUAGCUAGUUGGUAAGGUAACGGCUUACCAAGGCGACGAUCAGUAGCCGGACUGAGAGGUUGAUCGGCCACAUUGGGACUGAGACACGGCCCAGACUCCUACGGGAGGCAGCAGUGGGGAAUAUUGCACAAUGGAGGAAACUCUGAUGCAGCGAUGCCGCGUGAGGGAAGAAGGUUUUAGGAUUGUAAACCUCUGUCUUCAGGGACGAAAAAAGACGGUACCUGAGGAGGAAGCUCCGGCUAACUACGUGCCAGCAGCCGCGGUAAUACGUAGGGAGCGAGCGUUGUCCGGAAUUACUGGGUGUAAAGGGAGCGUAGGCGGGAUCGCAAGUCAGAUGUGAAAACUAUGGGCUUAACCCAUAAACUGCAUUUGAAACUGUGGUUCUUGAGUGAAGUAGAGGUAAGCGGAAUUCCUAGUGUAGCGGUGAAAUGCGUAGAUAUUAGGAGGAACAUCAGUGGCGAAGGCGGCUUACUGGGCUUUAACUGACGCUGAGGCUUGAAAGCGUGGGGAGCAAACAGGAUUAGAUACCCUGGUAGUCCACGCCGUAAACGAUGAUUACUAGGUGUGGGGGGACUGACCCCUUCCGUGCCGCAGCAAACGCAAUAAGUAAUCCACCUGGGGAGUACGACCGCAAGGUUGAAACUCAAAGGAAUUGACGGGGGCCCGCACAAGCAGUGGAGUAUGUGGAUUAAUUCGAAGCAACGCGAAGAACCUUACCAGGUCUUGACAUCGUAUGCAUAGCUCAGAGAUGAGUGAAAUCUCUUCGGAGACAUAUAGACAGGUGGUGCAUGGUUAUCGUCAGCUCGUGUCGUGAGAUGUUGGGUUAAGUCCCGCAACGAGCGCAACCCUUACUGUUAGUUGCUACGCAAGAGCACUCUAGCAGGACUGCCGUUGACAAAACGGAGGAAGGUGGGGAUGACGUCAAAUCAUCAUGCCCCUUAUGACCUGGGCCUCACACGUACUGCAAUGGCUGUCAACAGAGGGAAGCAAAGCCGCGAGGUGGAGCGAACCCCUAAAAGCAGUCUUAGUUCGGAUUGUAGGCUGCAACCCGCCUACAUGAAGUCGGAAUUGCUAGUAAUCGCAGAUCAGCAUGCUGCGGUGAAUACGUUCCCGGGCCUUGUACACACCGCCCGUCACGCCAUGGGAGUCGGUAACACCCGAAGCCUGUAGUCUAACCGCAAGGAGGACGCAGUCGAAGGUGGGAUUGAUGACUGGGGUGAAGUCGUAACAAGGUA